UUUUAUACCGUGGUCGGGGCAGUGCCGGCCUGAGACAUACUUCACAGGCCUGUAGCAUUGCACUACACUACAACAUCUUUUGGUGUCUCAGAUAGCGCAUUGCCGUUAAAUAAAUUAUUAUCUGAGUAGUUUUUGCCUAGUUUAGGGUGCCAGCCGCCUCCCUAACCGCCUUAGUUCAAGCUCUGCUUGCUGGACUGCGUCUGUCUGUUCAAGGCUGGCGGCUUAGGACGCGACUUUCUGUCGUUUCACCAUGGAAGCGCCAACAAUUACUGAUGCUAUGAAUGUAGAUGAACUCGCUGCACCGCCACCGAACGCACCGAAUCCUCCGAAUCCGAUGAACCCACCGAACCCACCGAUUCAACCGAACACAGCGAAUCCUCAGCGUACUGAACUGACUAGGGAUGCUGACGGCUCCGCCGGUUCCUCCCGAGAUGAACACGAACUUGGCGCUGAAGCUUCAGCGUUUUCAAGCUGAAAUCGAACUUACGAGACUGAAAAAUGCUGGUGCUGGUUCGUCGACCGCACCUGUUCCGGUGGUGAGUUCUGAAGCUGUGAGUGUUACGCGCACCGAACCCCGAUUUACUUUCCGAGCUGAACCACCGCAGCCAAGCAAGAACAGCAGCUUGGAAAUGUUUGCUAAUGAUUUCCAAGAAUGGGUUGCCAAGUACGCACCGAACAACAUCGACGACGCCUUGUGGCAACUGCGCCACUCUGUGCGCGAGUACCCACCGGGCGCUGUUGACUGACUUUCUGAAUACCGCACCGAAUCCCACACUGCCAACAAACCGAACAGACUACCGGAGGUGUUAACUGCGUUCCUGGACUAUUUUGAGCCGAAGGUACGCAACAAAAAAACUGAAUCGCUUGAAUCUUUACUGAAGGGGGAAAUCCGGUUGGAUGCUUCAAAAGGAGUAGCUGAAUACGCUGUUCGUUUUCGUGAAGCCGCUCGCCGUGCGAAGUUUACCGCUCAAGAACCGCUUGCGAAAUUGUUUUACCUGGGAUUGAUUCCUGAACUUCGCCCGCUUUGCCGAGUUGAUCUUCAUGGUGCCGAUUUUACCGAACUUGAUGCAAUUGUGCAAUUCACGCUCACUGAAGAACGAAAAUUGCAAGCUCGCGGGCAGGGUCAAACUCGUGCGGCUCUUCACUAUGCUGCUGCCGCUUCCACGAAAAUUAAGCACCGCUUUCACCCGACAGGAUGGUCCGAAAUCUUCCGGCAAACGAAAUACUGAGCCGCAACCGUGGCGCGAUGUGGUUGCGAAGCGCGUCAGGGCGGAGCAUCCUCCGGCUACUGAAACUACCGUGGCGGCUGGAACUUCGAGCAAUGUCAUGAAUUCUGUUCGCCCGCCAGCGUGUCCCGUUGCGCCUACCGGACCACCGCCUACGUUCCCUGGAGCCCCUGCACCGACACCCCCACGACCUCCGUCUUCCGAUGCCAAUGUGUCAGUCAUGCAGGCUGCUCUGAACAGGCCGAACGAACCGUCACGGACUCCGAAUCCUCUCCGUCUAGGCACAUUUCUUACGAAUUGGGAGAAAUACCAGUGGAUGCAGCAGGGGAAAUGCUACCGCUGCGGAAUCCAAAAUGAUCAUAUCAGUGCACGUUGUCCGAAUCCGUUGGUGACGCCGGAUAUGUUUCACCGGCCGGAGAACCGUUAGGGUGUGUUCACAUGUAGUCCAAUUGAGAGUCUGAUUGGGAGUCCGAUUCGGG
rnacentral:lncRNA from 1 species